rnacentral:tRNA from 1 species
GCGGGAAUAGCUCAGUUGGUAGAGCGGUGGCCUUCCAAGCCAUCUGUCGCGGGUUCGAAUCCCGUUUCCCGCU